ACGGGGGGUGCAAGCGUUGCUCGGAAUCACUGGGCGUAAAGCGUCCGCAGGUGGGUGUGUGUGUCGGAUGUGAAAGCCCAGGGCUCAACCCUGGAACUGCAUUCGAAACUGCACAUCUUGAGUACGGGAGAGGGAAGCAGAAUUCCUGGUGUAGAGGUGAAAUUCGUAGAUAUCAGGAGGAAUACCUGUGGCGAAAGCGGCUUCCUGGUCCGAUACUGACACUCAUGGACGAAAGCGCGGGGAGCAAACAGGAUUAGAUACCCUGGUAGUCCGCGCCGUAAACGAUGGAUGCUAGUUGAUGGGUCUUUUACCGACUCAUUGACGUCGCUAACGCAUUAAGCAUCCCGCCUGGGGAGUACGGUCGCAAGAUUA
rnacentral:rRNA from 1 species